UUAAAAAAUGGGCAUUGUGCAUUGUGGAAUCCGCCCAUUUGGAGGACCUUUGUCUGCCAAGGUUUUCCUCUCAAACCCGAGGAUAGUAAAAAAUAUCCUUCUAGGAAGAUGGUUGCCAAACAAUUAAAAAAAAAAAUGGAAAGGGAGUUUUGCAUUUCUUCUUUGAAACCCGAGUAUUCUAAGGGUAGUUCUAAACGUGGAGCUGCCAAGGAAACCAAGGAAAAACAAAAGUUGAAAGUAUUAAACAUUCUUCCAUUGGAGAAGGUUUGAUGAAGGAGGUAGGAAAGCUAGUAGAGAGAAGCAAAAUCUUUGAGCAUUUGAUUUAAUUUGACGAAAGUUGUUGCCGUGAGGUUCUCUUCUGAACCCAUGCAGACACACCAAGAAAGGUGAACGUGGCGAUUCAAAAAAGCAAACAGCCACGUCACUCCAGUGGAAAACGUAGACUUUCUAGAGAAUAGUAUGCCAGAUACUCAGGAAUGGUUGUGGUGGAGCAAGAGCCUACGUGUCAAGAAAUGCAACCUAAUGCUAAUGACUCAUGCCACGUGGCAGAGCAGUGCAACGAGUUGGCUAACGGCUGCUGGCUGCCAAAUAACAAAUUCUAACCGCCUACAACGUACCUUCUCAACGCGACCUCAACUAAAUUGGCUUCUCACCCUUUGUUAUCGAAAUGACAAGAUUACCCCUAAAAUACGUUAUGUCGUUAUCUGAAUCUCGCUUUCUGAGGGUAAGAGGAACCCAUAUUUACCUAUCAAUCUUUCUAUUUUCAUUUGGAACUUCCUUUCAGCAGCCUUGGAAUUUUGAAUGUUUGAAUUCAUGAAUUGAAUGAAAUUUACGGUUCAAAAGAAUUUGACUUAA